CAAUAGCGUAUAUUAAAGUUGUUGCGGUUAAAAAGCUCGUAGUUGGAUUUCUGCCGAGGACGACCGGUCCGCCCUCUGGGUGAGUAUCUGUCUCGGACUGGGCAUCUUCUUGGAUAACGCAGCUGCUCUUGACUGUGUGGUGCGGUUUCCAGGUCGUUUACUUUGAGGAAACCAGAGUGUUUCAAGCAGGCGUAUGCUAUUGUAUACAUUAGCAUGGAAUAAUAAGGUAAGAUCUCUGUUCUAUUUUGUUGGUUUCUAGUGCUGAGGUAAUGAUUAAUGGGGGUGAGUUGGGGGCAUUCGUAGUUUGACUGUCAUGAGGUGAAUUCUUGGAUUGUUAAGACGACUACUGCGAAAGCAUUUGCCAAAUAUGUUUUCAUUUGAUC
rnacentral:rRNA from 1 species